rnacentral:rRNA from 1 species
GACGAACGCUGGCGGCGUGCCUAAUACAUGCAAGUCGAACGAAGCUGUUUUAACUGGUGCUUGCACCGACUUAAACAACUGAGUGGCGAACGGGUGCGUAACACGUGGGUAACCUGCCCCAAAGCGGGGGAUAACGUUUGGAAACAGAUGCUAAUACCGCAUAACCACAGAAACCACAUGGUUUCUGUGUCAAAGAUGGUUUCGGCUAUCACUUUGGGAUGGACCCGCGGCGUAUUAGCUAGUUGGUAAGGUAAUGGCUUACCAAGGCAAUGAGACGUAGCCGAACUGAGAGGUGGAUCGGCCUCAUUGGGACUGAGACACGGCCCAAACUCCUACGGGAGGCAGCAGGAGGGAAUCUUCGACAAUGGACGAAAGUCUGAUGGAGCAACGCCGCGGGGGUGAAGAAGGUUUUCGGAUCGUAAAACUCUGUUGUCAGAGAAGAACGUGUGCGAGAGUAACUGCUCGUGCAGUGACGGUAUCUGGCCAGAAAGCCACGGCUAACUACGUGCCAGCAGCCGCCGUAA